AGAGGUCCCUUUUGGCUCAGGACGAACGCUGGCGGCACGCUUAACACAUGCAAGUCGAACGAGAGAAGAGAAGCUUGCUUUUCUGAUCUAGUGGCGGACGGGUGAGUAACACGUGAGCAAUCUGCCUUUCAGAGGGGGAUACCGAUUGGAAACGAUCGUUAAUACCGCAUAACAUAAUUGAACCGCAUGAUUUGAUUAUCAAAGAUUUAUCGCUGAAAGAUGAGCUCGCGUCUGAUUAGCUAGUUGGUAAGGUAACGGCUUACCAAGGCGACGAUCAGUAGCCGGACUGAGAGGUUGAUCGGCCACAUUGGGACUGAGACACGGCCCAGACUCCUACGGGAGGCAGCAGUGGGGAAUAUUGCACAAUGGAGGAAACUCUGAUGCAGCGAUGCCGCGUGAGGGAAGAAGGUUUUAGGAUUGUAAACCUCUGUCUUCAGGGACGAAAAAAGACGGUACCUGAGGAGGAAGCUCCGGCUAACUACGUGCCAGCAGCCGCGGUAAUACGUAGGGAGCGAGCGUUGUCCGGAAUUACUGGGUGUAAAGGGAGCGUAGGCGGGAUCGCAAGUUAGAUGUGAAAACUAUGGGCUUAACCCAUAAACUGCAUUUGAAACUGUGGUUCUUGAGUGAAGUAGAGGUAAGCGGAAUUCCUAGUGUAGCGGUGAAAUGCGUAGAUAUUAGGAGGAACAUCAGUGGCGAAGGCGGCUUACUGGGCUUUAACUGACGCUGAGGCUCGAAAGCGUGGGGAGCAAACAGGAUUAGAUACCCUGGUAGUCCACGCCGUAAACGAUGAUUACUAGGUGUGGGGGGAGUGACCCCCUCCGUGCCGCAGCAAACGCAAUAAGUAAUCCACCUGGGGAGUACGACCGCAAGGUUGAAACUCAAAGGAAUUGACGGGGGCCCGCACAAGCAGUGGAGUAUGUGGAUUAAUUCGAAGCAACGCGAAGAACCUUACCAGGUCUUGACAUCGUAUGCAUAGCUCAGAGAUGAGUGAAAUCUCUUCGGAGACAUAUAGACAGGUGGUGCAUGGUUGUCGUCAGCUCGUGUCGUGAGAUGUUGGGUUAAGUCCCGCAACGAGCGCAACCCUUACUGUUAGUUGCUACGCAAGAGCACUCUAGCAGGACUGCCGUUGACAAAACGGAGGAAGGUGGGGAUGACGUCAAAUCAUCAUGCCCCUUAUGACCUGGGCCUCACACGUACUACAAUGGCUGUCAACAGAGGGAAGCAAAGCCGCGAGGUGGAGCAAACCCCUAAAAGCAGUCUUAGUUCGGAUUGUAGGCUGCAACCCGCCUACAUGAAGUCGGAAUUGCUAGUAAUCGCAGAUCAGCAUGCUGCGGUGAAUAAGUUCCCGGGCCUUGCACA
rnacentral:rRNA from 1 species